GUGGCAGGUAGAAAAUAACUGGAAACUAUUUAGUGGCAACAUUUUCAUUAAAAAGUUGUGAGGGGACAGACACUGCUUAAAGGCACACAAGAUAGCUAGGGAUGGCUUUUAAUUGGUGGAGCAGUGUCAAAGCUCAAAUAAGCACCUUACCUUGCUGACUCACCAAAGUAUCGCCACGGGGGCCUCAGAGUUGUGGCACAAGUGAGUGAUCGCUGGACUAUGGUGGCCAGGCCAGACUACCCAAAGGCCAGAAUAACACAUGGGAGAUCGAGACCGGAAUCUCAGUGAGUCUGAGUGCUGCAUAGCCCCUGGGUUGCCUCGGUGAGAGAUGACAAGCACUCAUCCUCCUUUCACUGUGCAUCUCAUUCCAGACGAAGACAAAUAAACCGCUGAUUGAAGCUGAGAACGUGAAGAUGUGACUGACAUGUUUGUAUAAAUGUUUACACAUUACUCCGUCUGAUUAGUCACAGCGCUCGUGGAUGGGGUCCAAGAGCUGGAAAAUAUACCUGUGUGCAUGUGUGAGACCGCAUGUAACUGUGUGUGACUUUUAGCUUGUGCAUCUCCACCCCUUUGAAAGCCCCUCCUGUCAUAUAAGAUUAGAGAAGGUACAUCUAACAAAGACAACAAGUCUCUCAUGUCAAGACUGUUUACAGAAAUAACACAGUAUUAAAUUUAGAGUAUCCUACACUCAUAAUUUCAAACACUCCCCCAUGAAAUAUUUAGUGUGACUAAAGGGAAGCAAGGUUGAUGUUGGAUGUUUUGACAUGUGUCUCUGUAACUUGGCUA
ensembl:lncRNA